rnacentral:rRNA from 1 species
UACGUAGGGUGCGAGCGUUAAUCGGAAUUACUGGACGUAAAGCGUGCGCAGGCGGCUUUGCAAGACAGAUGUGAAAUCCCCGGGCUCAACCUGGGAACUGCAUUUGUGACUGCAAGGCUAGAGUACGGCAGAGGGGGAUGGAAUUCCGCGUGUAGCAGUGAAAUGCGUAGAUAUGCGGAGGAACACCGAUGGCGAAGGCAAUCCCCUGGGCCUGUACUGACGCUCAUGCACGAAAGCGUGGUGAGCAAACAGG